GAACGCGCAGCAUUCUGUAGCAAUACAGGGUGUGGGCGCGUGGCGAACGGGUGCGUAACACGUGGAUAACUUUCCUUGAGGUGGGGAAUAACCCAGUGAAAAUUGGGCUAAUACCGCAUAACAUCGCGACGGCACAUGCUGAUGCGAUCAAAGGCGCAAGUCGCCACAAGAGGGAUCCGCGGCCGAUUAGCUAGUUGGCGAGGUAAUGGCUCACCAAGGCAAUGAUCGGUAGCCGGACUGAGAGGUUGGCCGGCCACACUGGAACUGAGACACGGUCCAGACUCCUACGGGAGGCAGCAGUGGGGAAUCUUGCACAAUGGACGAAAGUCUGAUGCAGCAACGCCGCGUGGGGGAUGAAGCUUCUCGGAGUGUAAACCCCUUUCGACCCGGAAGAAUGCCCGCAAGGGUAUGACGGUACGGGUAUAAGAAGCCCCGGCUAACUACGUG
rnacentral:rRNA from 1 species